rnacentral:rRNA from 1 species
GACGAACCGUGCGAACGUUGUUCGGAAUCACUGGGCUUAAAGGGCGCGUAGGCGGCUCACCGAGUCCGGGGUGAAAGCCCCCAGCUUAACUGGGGAAGUGCCUCGGAUACUGGUGAGCUCGAGGGAGGUAGGGGCGGAUGGAACUUCCGGUGGAGCGGUGAAAUGCGUUGAUAUCGGAAGGAACGCCGGUGGCGAAAGCGAUCCGCUGGCCCUCUACUGACGCUGAGGCGCGAAAGCCAGGGGAGCAAACGGG